rnacentral:rRNA from 1 species
GACGAACGCUGGCGGCGUGCUUAACACAUGCAAGUCGUACGGUAAGGCCCUUUCGGGGGUACACGAGUGGCGAACGGGUGCGUAACACGUGAGUAACCUGCCCACAACUUUGGGAUAACGCUAGGAAACUGGUGCUAAUACUGGAUAUGUGCUCCUGCUGCAUGGGGGGGGUUGGAAAGCUCCGGCGGUUGUGGAUGGACUCGCGGCCUAUCAGCUUGUUGGUGGGGUAGUGGCCUACCAAGGCGGCGACGGGUAGCCGGCCUGGGAGGGUGACCGGCCACAUUGGGACUGAGAUACGGCCCAGACUCCUACGGGAGGCCGCAGUGGGGAAUAUUGAACAAUCGGCGCAAGCCUGAUGCAGCAACGCCGCGUGCGGGAUGACGGCCUUCGGGUUGUAAAACGAUUUCAGCAGGGACGAAGCUCUUUGUGACGGUACCUGCAGAAGAAGCACCGGCUAACUACGUG